UUUGUUUUUUAGCAUUGUGAAUGCUAUUUUUUGACGCAUCUGCUAUUUCGCUUUGUCCUUUUCAGGCGAAGGGAUCGAAACGACGUAGCAUUUUGACCUCGAAGCCAAAACGGUGCGGUUCAACGGGACGAACCUUACGACGAGCGACCGGUCUGUUUUGGCUUUGAGCUCCAUUCCAGAUUCGACAAUUCUCGGCGGUUUCGAAACAGUACGUGCUGAUUGAAUUGCCACAAUUUGCUCUCCAUGAUUGCAGUUUUUUUUUUUUGUUUCUGUUUGGUUCUUGAGAAAUAAUGAUGAAAAAUCUUUAAAAUAAUAUUUUCAUGCUCCAUUUACAUAUCUUAACGUCUAUGUAUAAAAAGCUUGACCUUUUCCUAGAAAAUCUAAUCGAUUGAUGUGGUUCGUGCUAGCAAAUUCUCUAAAUCUAUAUAAGGAACUUUGCAUUAUCUUUAUGACUUUUUUUUAAAAAAAUUUUAAUGUAGGUUUGUUUUAUUGGUUUAUGUUCAAUGACGGGAGAUGCAAUGAGUACAUAAUUAUGACUUCCUGCGAAUUCUGAUAGCCAGAAUGGUAUGGGCAUAUAUCCUUCCAUUGUUUAUUUUCAGUUGGGCGAUGCAAUUGAAGUAAUGGUUUUAGCUUUAAUUAUAGCCUGUUAAAUGGGGGAGCAAUGGCUUCGCUUUAAUGGAGUGCGAUUAAUUUUUGCCUAAAGGAUUUGUGAAUUUUGCUUUCAGUGGAAAAAUUAGCUUGUAGGCUUUUCAGAGGGUUAAAGGGCAAAGGAUAGAAAUUGGCAUGUAUGGAUCAUUUGGUUAUUAGGAGAAGCAAUAGCGUAGGCGACUUGGAAAUUGGUGAGACUUCUAGUGAGGAUGAUGAGAUUAAAAUGCUGGGUUCAAGUGGUGAAAUCGCCUAUAAGCAUGGCAGAUUAAGGAGUGAAUCUGCUAGUACCAUUGGAAUGAAUUUUAGGAGUGGUGAUGGGUCAAGUUCAAGUGAGGGAACAUUCAGUUCUAGUGAAAACUUGGAGAUAAUUGUAGGUGAGAAAGGGGAAAGCGCAAAAAUUAGUGCAGAGAAUGGAAUGGUGAAGGAGAAAAGGAAAAAGAGGAGUUCUAAACCACCACUGCCUCCUAGAGGGCCGUCGUUGUGCAUGGCAGAUAUGAAAUUGCUUAGAGAAAUGUCUGAGCUUACAAGGUUAAAACGUGCAAGAGUUAAACGAAUCAAGGCAACGAAGAAGAAGAGGGCAGCGAAUGAAUCAUCUUCAAGGAUUAAUAUUUUUCCCAUACUUGUUACCAUUGUCUUCUUCUACGUGAUAAUUUUUCAAGGUAACUUCGUCUUUCUCUCUUCUUAUUGGGUUACUAAGAUGAGACAUUAAGCCUGAAGAAGCUGAAAAUCAAGAUGAAUCUGGUUAUGUGUGCAUUUGCUAUUCUUUUGUGAUCUAUUAAAAUUCCUAUGGAUGUUUGUUAGGACUUCCAGACGUGCGAUGCAAGUCUUAUGAAUAUGCUUAUAUUCAUUUUUCAGGUUUCUUGGGUUCUCGUGCAUGAUGCCUUUAGAAGUGCUCAUCUUUAAAUUGCAGUACACAGUUUUAUGGACAUGAAUUUCAGGAGAUGGCAUCCAUGGAUCAUGGCUCUCCAAGGCAGCAACAAUUGCAAUUCUGUGGGUGGCUCAACAACAACCGCAACAACUAAGCCUUAAUCCCAAUCCAAGUACAGUGCUGGUGCUUUUAAAUAUCUCUAACAAUUUACUUUUGGAGUAAGAUUUUGAUGCUUUUUCAUGAAGUUUAUUAUGUCCUGGAUCUAUGUCCUGGAUCUGUUCCAAUACUCUUCUGGAAGGAGAAUUCCUUAGCGACUAAAUUUUAACUUGGAAUACGUCUCUUUCAGUGCAAUUAGCGCAUCGUGCUUCAUACAAUCUCAAUCAGUUGGGAUGGGAAUUUUGUUGGGUCAUUAGUUGAUUCAGGGAAAAUUUUUCUGAGAGCUUUUAUGCACAUUUUUUUCUGGAUGGUGAUAAAACUGUCUUUGUUGGUCAGUCCACUGUCCAUUUUCUGUGUAUUCCAUCUUCAAUUCUGUUAAAUGGAAACUAAAUUGGUUUUCCUUGUGGAUUUUGAACAUGAAAUGUACGCAACCUCUUUGCCCUCACAAACCGUAACCCAUCAAACGCGUCAACAAAAGGAGCAAUGAAAUAGGCAGGGAAUUCUAGGCUUGGAGCAUCAAUCUUUGAUCUGGUAACUUUGAAGCUGGACAAUUCAUACGUUUGACAUCAUGUCGACCACUUAGAUGGGCCGUAAACUGGACCUAGUGAUGGCUCGACUUACCAGUUUAGCCACAGUCAAAACUCAAAAGGCAACAACGGGGCCGGUUUCGGUUCCAAGGGAACUUAAACUGGGACUGAGGGGACCGAAAGGGAGACCCAUUUUGGCUUGGUUUUGGGUUGAUUGGAGAGUGAAUUUAAUUCAAUUCAAGUUGUAGUAAUGUUAACUGUCAAAGAGCAUUUAGAAAAAGAAAAUAAUGACUUGGUCAUGAA